UUCUUGGAUAAACGAAGUUGGUAAAGCAUGAGACUCUUAAUCUCAGGGUCAUGGGUUCGAGUCACAAAAUAUUGGGCAAAA